GAUGAACGCUGGCGGUGUGCCUAAUACAUGCAAGUCGAGCGAACAGACGAGAAGCUUGCUCCUCUGCCGGUAGCGGCGGACGGGUGAGUAACACGUGGAUAACCUACCUCUAAUACUGGGGUAACUUCGUGAAACCGGAGCUAAUACCGGCGCAUAUAUUGAACCGCAGGGUUCAAUAGUGAAUCACGGUUUUGCCGUCACUUUUAGAUGGAUCCGGGUCGCAUUAGCUAGUUGGUAAGGUAACGGCUUACCAAGGCUACGAUGCGUAGCCGACCUGAGAGGGUGAUCGGCCACACUGGAACUGAGACACGGUCCAGACUCCUACGGGAGGCAGCAGUAGGGAAUCUUCCGCAAUGGGCGAAAGCUUGACGGAGCAACGCCGCGUGAGUGAUGAAGGUCUUCGGAUCGUAAAACUCUGUUAUUAGGGAAGAACAGAUGUGUAAGUAACUCUGCACGUCUUGACGGUACCUAAUCAGAAAGCAACGGCUAACUACGUG
rnacentral:rRNA from 1 species